GUCAGACAUUAAAUGGCAGUUUAUUGUUAAUAAAAUUUGUACUGUUCAGAUUCAAAUGUUUCAAAGAAUACAAGAUUUGAUAUCUUACACAUUAUACUAUGUAUAUAUCACAAAAAUUCAAACAAGAGAAAUUCCGAGAUGCAGAAUAUCAAUUUCUUAAUGCUUGUCUGAAUCCAUCAGGCCUCGCACAACUGUCUUCACAAACAUUGUCCAAUGCAUUGUUUCCUAUGCCUCAUCUUCUUCCUCAAUUUUGCAUUACCAUUACUUCCAAAUCUAAGUUCAAAGAUCUGCUGCAGCUAAUUCCUCUAACCAUAAGUCACAUAAGACGCACUUUAACUAAAAAAUACAGGCAGCUUAGGGUUUCCAGGGUGCUGGAGGAGGUGGUGGAGUGGGGAACAUUGGAGGAACAGCUGAGAAAAUGGUGUUCUUGUCAAUCCCAGUAGUCCUGUCACCUGACAAAGCAACAAGUGCUGCAACUAGACCUGCAUUGCCAGCAAGAGUUGGUUCUGUGUAAUUGUAGUUGGUACGAACAUCGUGGAAACCAUCGUGCUUGUCAGGGCCAGCAACCAUGGCUCCAACCAGUGUAUUUGGGUUAGGCUUGGAGGAGUCCCUCCACUUCCACCCUCCCUUGCAGUUGUACUUGAUCUUGUCCUUACGGAUGGAUGCACCUCUGUGGUGGACAUGCCUUGGGUAAUGAUUACCAAAACCCACAACAUAGCUCAUUUUCCGAGGAUUUUUGCCCAAUAUAUAAUCAACCUGCCAAAACAACAGAGCAAACAAUGAAGUUAUCGACCAUCAUCUCUUGACAAGUUCAUUAUACACCACCUUAUUAAUCAGAACAAAUACGACAUACCUGGGUCUUGGCAAAUUCACGCAAGACAUCAGUUGAGUAGAAAUUUGGUCCACAGUACCAUCCAGGCGUAUCUGCAGCUUCGAGAUAAUCACUAAAUAGGGUGGCAAGGAAGGCUGCAUUGACAACAUACUGAAGUGGCUGAGGUGCUCCAUGGUUUAACUGGAUCAAUCCUCCUUUGGUUCUGUUAAAGCUUGUAAAAAUUGGCAGGUAAGAACACAUGAUUAUGCUGGUCUGGUUGUGAAAUGUACUUAAUAUUUCUUCAUAUGGAUAUCCAGGGCUCAAAAACAGUCUCAAACGACUCAAAAGCACCUGACAACCAGUGAGCUUGUUAUCCCAGCUAAGCACACCAUAGUAUGGCCCUCCCCAGAAAGCACCAGCAUGCUUGGCCAAACCAGGAGUAGUAGCAAGCUGAAGAUAAGAAGAAUUCCCAGUAGCAUAGUAGAGCCAAGUUGCACCCCAUAUAAACUCAUCCCAGUAGCUAGUUGAAUUAUAGAAAAUGGCAGCUUCUGAACUACCUGCACUAUAUCUACCUCGCUCUUCCCUUGCGAAUUUAUAGAGAGUUUUAGCACCAUGGACAAGUUUCUGUGAGUAGGCCUUGUUAUCUUUGAAAACAAUGGAUGCAGAUGCUAAGGCAGCAGCCAUUUCAGCAGCAAGAUCCGAACAACUACUGCAUUGAGUAACACUUCGUGGGUAAUCAAUGUCCUCAGGGCGCAUCCAGCAAUAAUGAUCAUUAGGAGACGUAUUUCCUCCAGAAGUAUCUCCUGAACCAACCUGUGCAGCAAUGGUGUUGAUAGUAUCUGCAGUAUGAUUGAAGCAUUUGAGAAAGUAAUCAGUUCCCCACUUAAUAAUAUCUUUGACAUGAUUGAGCUCCCCAGCUGCUUCAUACUUAGCACUGUACUCUAUAACGCUCCAGCUCAGCAUGGUCAUAGCAAAAGAAGCAGGGAAGUUGAACUUAAUAGCAUCUCCGGCGUCGUAAUACCCACCAGCCAGAUCUUUGAAAAUCGUACCCGUCGCCGAUUUCCCAUCAUUUACACAAGAAUUCCCUCUCCACGAAACGUUAUUGUGCUUCGGGAGCUUCCCAGAUCGUUGGGCAUUGAAGAACAUGAGUGCCUUGUGAAGUGCAAGAGUGUAAUUAUCCGACGGAGACUUAGAAUGGUGGUGACGAGGCACAGUCUUUACGAUGAGAGUAAUGAAGCCAGCUAAGAAGCCGGAGACGAGAAGAGUACCGACGGUCCAGACGAAGAUCUUGCGGCUGACGAUGAUACAGCCAAGAUCGACGUACUUCUUCUUCUUCUUCUGCUCAGCUGGACCAAGAAGCCAGCUCUGCUGAGUCUCAUCCAAAGGCCUGGACAAAGCAGCCCUGUCUAAUUCCUGCAGAUUCCUACUCCGUUCAUCGUCGGUGGCGGAGUCCGCCGCGUUUAUCUCCAGCGGACCACCCCAUGGAUCCCUUCCGUACAUACUCGUUUUCUUCUCUGUUUUAUUCAGUCAGCUCAGCUGUUAAAUUGAAAGCAAGAGAGAGAGCAAUUACGCACCCCCAGUCAGGGCAGAUCAGAGAGGAAGAGGUGAAUGAGGAGCCACUGCGGCAAAUGCGGUGGUCGUGAAGUAGGAUGAGGAGGAAGAGGAGGAGAGGAUGGUGGAGUGAGGAAGCGUUAAAAGGCAAAGGAUGGAUGGAGUGGGUGGGCAGUGGAGACGGAUGACGGUGGCGAGUCAAUAAUAACGUAGCAUUCAACAUGUGGA
rnacentral:misc_RNA from 1 species